UAGGGAAUCUUCCACAAUGGACGCAAGUCUGAUGGAGCAACGCCGCGUGAGUGAAGAAGGCUUUCGGGUCGUAAAACUCUGUUAUUGAAGAAGAACGUGUGUGACAGUAACUGGUCAUGCAGUGACGGUAUUCAAUCAGAAAGUCACGGCUAACUACGUGCCAGCAGCCGCGGUAAUACGUAGGCGGCAAGCGUUGUCCGGAUUUAUUGGGCGUAAAGCGAGUGCAGGCGGUCUUUUAAGUCUGAUGUGAAAGCCUUCGGCUUAACCGAAGAAGGGCAUCGGAAACUGGGAGACUUGAGUGCAGAAGAGGAGAGUGGAACUCCAUGUGUAGCGGUGAAAUGCGUAGAUAUAUGGAAGAACACCAGUGGCGAAGGCGGCUCUCUGGUCUGUAACUGACGCUGAGGCUCGAAAGCGUGGGUAGCAAACAGGAUUAGAUACCCUGGUAGUCCACGCCGUAAACGAUGAAUAC
rnacentral:rRNA from 1 species